AGAGUUUGAUCCUGGCUCACGACGAACGCUGGCGGCGUGCCUAAUACAUGCAAGUCGAGCGGACAGAAGGGAGCUUGCUCCCGGAUGUUAGCGGCGGACGGGUGAGUAACACGUGGGUAACCUGCCUGUAAGACUGGGAUAACUCCGGGAAACCGGAGCUAAUACCGGAUAGUUCCUUGAACCGCAUGGCUCAAGGAUGAAAGACGGUUUCGGCUGUCACUUACAGAUGGACCCGCGGCGCAUUGCUAGUUGGUGAGGUAACGGCUCACCAAGGCGACGAUGCGUAGCCGACCUGAGAGGGUGAUCGGCCACACUGGGACUGAGACACGGCCCAGACUCCUACGGGAGGCAGCAGUAGGGAAUCUUCCGCAAUGGACGAAAGUCUGACGGAGCAACGCCGCGUGAGUGAUGAAGGUUUUCGGAUCGUAAAGCUCUGUUGUUAGGGAAGAACAAGUGCAAGAGUAACUGCUUGCACCUUGACGGUACCUAACCAGAAAGCCACGGCUAACUACGUGCCAGCAGCCGCGGUAAUACGUAGGUGGCAAGCGUUGUCCGGAAUUAUUGGGCGUAAAGGGCUCGCAGGCGGUUUCUUAAGUCUGAUGUGAAAGCCCCCGGCUCAACCGGGGAGGGUCAUUGGAAACUGGGAAACUUGAGUGCAGAAGAGGAGAGUGGAAUUCCACGUGUAGCGGUGAAAUGCGUAGAGAUGUGGAGGAACACCAGUGGCGAAGGCGACUCUCUGGUCUGUAACUGACGCUGAGGAGCGAAAGCGUGGGGAGCGAACAGGAUUAGAUACCCUGGUAGUCCACGCCGUAAACGAUGAGUGCUAAGUGUUAGGGGGUUUCCGCCCCUUAGUGCUGCAGCUAAC
rnacentral:rRNA from 1 species